rnacentral:rRNA from 1 species
UGCAGUCGAACGAACUCUGGUAUUGAUUGGUGCUUGCAUCAUGAUUUACAUUUGAGUGAGUGGCGAACUGGUGAGUAACACGUGGGAAACCUGCCCAGAAGCGGGGGAUAACACCUGGAAACAGAUGCUAAUACCGCAUAACAACUUGGACCGCAUGGUCCGAGUUUGAAAGAUGGCUUCGGCUAUCACUUUUGGAUGGUCCCGCGGCGUAUUAGCUAGAUGGUGGGGUAACGGCUCACCAUGGCAAUGAUACGUAGCCGACCUGAGAGGGUAAUCGGCCACAUUGGGACUGAGACACGGCCCAAACUCCUACGGGAGGCAGCAGUAGGGAAUCUUCCACAAUGGACGAAAGUCUGAUGGAGCAACGCCGCGUGAGUGAAGAAGGGUUUCGGCUCGUAAAACUCUGUUGUUAAAGAAGAACAUAUCUGAGAGUAACUGUUCAGGUAUUGACGGUAUUUAACCAGAAAGCCACGGCUAACUACGUGCCAGCAGCCGCGGUAAUACGUAGGUGGCAAGCGUUGUCCGGAUUUAUUGGGCGUAAAGCGAGCGCAGGCGGUUUUUUAAGUCUGAUGUGAAAGCCUUCGGCUCAACCGAAGAAGUGCAUCGGAAACUGGGAAACUUGAGUGCAGAAGAGGACAGUGGAACUCCAUGUGUAGCGGUGAAAUGCGUAUAUAUAUGGAAGAACACCAGUGGCGAAAGCGGCUGUCUGGUCUGUAACUGACGCUGAGCUCGAAAGUAUGGGUACAAACAGG